rnacentral:lncRNA from 1 species
GGAGAAACAAUAACAUGGUUUCUGCUUCUCUUUUGCCUCUCAAAUCUCAUGCUAGUGCUUCUGGCUGGUGCAUUCUAACCUGGAACCCUGCUGAUGGGAAUUGUGAGGAAUGUGGCUUCCGGGCUUCUGGCUCCUGCGACACGGAGGCAAGCUUGGGGCAGAGGGAGAAAGAAAGAAAUAGAAUGACAGAUCCCCGUGACAUUGUGUGACACAUAUGAACAUCAUCUGUUGACUGUGGCAGUGAAGAAGACAAAACCAUAGACGGGCUCCUUCUUUCCAGUGUUACCUUUGUUCUCUGAACACACUUCAUGCUUACAAACCUCUCUAGGAACUUAGGAGUCAGAGAGAGCUGAGGAGAAGAGAGUGCCAGGCGUAGAGAAUCAAAGAGGCAUCGCACGUGCUGGAUGUGAAAGAAAGGAACUCAGAGAAGAGUAAGUGACUGAUUCCGCCACCAACGAAAAUUUCUACAGUGUUGUAAGAAGACUUUAAUAAUUCAAAUGCCACUCUUUGAGAGAAGUGACAGUAUGCAUAUAAACAUAGCACGGUAAACGUUUAGAGUCUAAAUUAAACUCCGGCUGAGAGGUUUUUCCCAACAGAUUUUAAAUUCACAGAGAGAUGCUGAACGAUUGGCCUGAACUGACUGGUCUCUUGGCGAGGCUGAAAGCAAGAUGCCCUCUGGCUGCUCUCUCUCCCUCAGAUGCUGCCGAGUGUGUGCUGUGGCCUUUGGCAAAAGUAAGGAUUGUGCCUUGAAAACACCAUUUUGCCUGAGCUCCAAAAGAUAUGAACACGAGGAGCUUAACUAAGAAGUGCCUUCAUGUUGGAUGUUCUGUGUGCAAUUUUUCCCUGAGAUACCCUGUGUCCUGUGAAUCUAUAGCAUGGCUUGAUGAGCAGUGCUAGGUCCGUGCCCAGGAUCCGAACCUGCAAACACCUGACUGCUGAAGUGGAGCACACGAACCCAACCACAAUGCUGCCUAACACUGAUGGUUGAACAACCUCGUCUAGGUGCUGAGGGUGAGGUUUUGACUGAGUGAAGCAGGUAGCAGCAUCCUCUGCUCAUACAGCAUGAAUUUAUCGUAUACAUGUUUG